GGAGAGAGACAGUUGAGCCUGGGGGCUCUGGCUUUUCUCUCUCUGGGUGGACCUGAGGAGAUUAGCUUUUUCCCUGUGGCAUUUGACUACCUGAUCUUCAUAUCCUACCUGCUAUUUGGAUUAUCCUGUUAACAUGUUAACUAUUUUGAUAUCUGCUGAGUUCCUGUGCUGCUCUUGAGACAACUAACAGCUGAUUAUGGCUGCCAGAAUAAUAGUUCUUACAUGUAGCUUCUGUCAUAUCACUCCUCUCAACAAUCUAGAGUUCCAAGUUCAAGCUCAAGCACCUGGCCAAGUCCUUCAUAAUCUGAUGCCAAGUCUAUCGUUCUAGCUAUCUUCUACAAAGUCUAAAUGUCAAAAAACCUAACUACUCUAUGACCAAUAAAUACUGUGAUUCUCCCCAUUUA